rnacentral:rRNA from 1 species
UACGGAGGGCGCGAGCGUUGUCCGGAAUCAUUGGGCGUAAAGGGCGCGUAGGUGGCCCGGUCAGUUCGUGGUGAAAGCGCGGGGCUCAACCCUGCGUCGGCCAUGAAUACUGCCGCGGCUGGAGCACUGUAGAGGCAGGCGGAAUUCCGGGUGUAGCGGUGGAAUGCGUAGAGAUCCGGAAGAACACCGGUGGCGAAGGCGGCCUGCUGGGCAGUUGCUGACACUGAGGCGCGACAGCGUGGGGAGCAAACAGG